CGCCGAGGGGUUGGAGCUGCGGCACCGCAGGCCUGAGCCGCCCCUUCUCUGCCGUCUCCUUCUGCUCCUCAGAGC
rnacentral:miRNA from 1 species